UACGUAGGGAGCAAGCGUUGUCCGGAUUCACUGGGUGUAAAGGGUGCGCAGGCGGGAGAGUAAGUCAGAGGUGAAAUCUCACAGCUUAACUGUGAAACUGCCUUUGAUACUGCUUUUCUUGAGUUCGGGAGAGGAUGGUGGAAUUCCCAGUGUAGAGGUGAAAUUCGUAGAUAUUGGGAAGAACACCGAUGGCGAAGGCAGCCAUCUGGACCGACACUGACGCUGAGGCGCGAAAGCGUGGGGAGCAAACAGG
rnacentral:rRNA from 1 species